UACGUAGGGUGCAAGCGUUGUCCGGAAUUAUUGGGCGUAAAGAGCUCGUAGGCGGCUUGUCGCGUCGGAUGUGAAAGCCCGGGGCUUAACCCCGGGUCUGCAUUCGAUACGGGCAGGCUAGAGUUCGGUAGGGGAGAUCGGAAUUCCUGGUGUAGCGGUGAAAUGCGCAGAUAUCAGGAAGAACACCCGUGGCGAGAGCGGCUCUCUGGAACGGUACUGACGCUGAGACGCGAAAGCGUGGGGAGCGAACAGG
rnacentral:rRNA from 1 species